GACGAACGCUGGCGGCGUGCUUAACACAUGCAAGUCGAACGAAGUCGCGCACGGGUGAGUAACGCGUAAUCAACCUUCCCUUCAGAGGGGGACAACAGUUGGCAACGACUGCUAAUACCGCAUACUGUAGGAGGGGGUUGCGGCUGAUUAGCUGGUUGGCGGGGUAACGGCCCACCAAGGCGAUGAUCAGUAGCCGGGCUGGGGGGGUGAACGGGCAAAUUGGGACUGGGACACGGCCCAGGAUCCUAAGGGGGGGAGCAGUGGGGGAUUGUCCGAAAAGGACGAAAGUCUGGAGGAGCAACGCCGCGUGGGUGAAGACGGCCUUCGGGUUGGAAAGCUCUGUUAAUCGGGACGCGGUACCGGAAGAGGAAGCAACGGCUAACUACGUGCCAGCAGCCGCGGUAAUUC
rnacentral:rRNA from 1 species